rnacentral:tRNA from 1 species
GUAAGCGAAGUUUUAUAAUAUCUCAUUUACAUUGAGAAGGUCCUUAUUUACAAACUAAGGCGCUUAUA